UACGUAGGGUGCAAGCGUUAAUCGGAAUUACUGGGCGUAAAGCGUGCGCAGGCGGUUAUGCAAGACAGAUGUGAAAUCCCCGGGCUUAACCUGGGAACUGCAUUUGUGACUGGCGGACUCGAGUAUGGCAGAGGGGGGUAGAAUUCCACGUGUAGCAGUGAAAUGCGUAGAUAUCGGGAGGAACACCAGUGGCGCAAGCGGCUGACUGGCCGAGACCUGA
rnacentral:rRNA from 1 species